UACGUAGGGGGCAAGCGUUGUCCGGAUUUAUUGGGCGUAAAGAGCGUGUAGGCGGCCUGAAAGGUCAGCUGUGAAAACUCGAGGCUUAACCUCGAGACGUCGGUUGAAACCAUCUGGCUAGAGUCCGGAAGAGGCGAGUGGAAUUCCUGGUGUAGCGGUGAAAUGCGCAGAUAUCAGGAGGAACACCAAUUGCGAAGGCAGCUCGCUGGGACGUUACUGACGCUGAGACGCGAAAGCGUGGGUAGCAAACAGG
rnacentral:rRNA from 1 species